rnacentral:lncRNA from 1 species
UUUUGCCCAUGAGGAACUCCCGAAAUUGGCUCAGCCAUCCAGGAAUCAUCCGGUCCUGUUUGGGACAGUAACACCUUUGGUGUAGAAAUCCCUGAAGUGAGCUGUACAGUCUUGCCAACACCAGAUUGCGGUGUAUUUGCUGAUGCGCUCAUGUCGGACUUGUUUCCCUUUUUCAUUUCAGGUGGUAUAUCUUUUCCUUGCGGACCUUCUGGAUCCACAUCUUUGUUCCCG